AUUGAACGCUAGCGGGAUGCCUUACACAUGCAAGUCGAACGGAGUGGCGAACGGGUGAGUAAUGUAUCGGAACGUGCCCAGUAGCGGGGGAUAACUACGCGAAAGCGUAGCUAAUACCGCAUACUAUUGGAGCGGCCGUUAUCGGAUUAUCGAGUUGGUUGGGUAACGGGUACCCAAGGCGACGAUCCGUAGCUGGUUUGAGAGGACUACCAGCCACACUGGGACUGAGCAACGGCCCAGACUCAUACGGGAGGCAGCAGUGGGGAAUUUUGGACAAUGGGGGAAACCCUGAUCCAGCCAGCCCGCGGGUGCGAUGAAGGCCUUCGGGUGGUAAAGCACUUUUGGCAGGAAAGCGGUACCUGCAGAAUAAGCACCGGCUAACUACGUGCCAGCAGCCGCGGUAAUAC
rnacentral:rRNA from 1 species